rnacentral:rRNA from 1 species
UACGGAGGAUGCGAACGUUAUCCGGAUUUAUUGGGUUUAAAGGGUGCGUAGGCGGAUCGUUAAGUCAGUGGUCAAAUUGAGGGGCUCAACCCCUUCCCGCCAUUGAAACUGGCGAUCUUGAGUGGAAGAGAAGUAUGCGGAAUGCGUGGUGUAGCGGUGAAAUGCAUAGAUAUCACGCAGAACCCCGAUUGCGAAGGCAGCAUGCCGGCUUCCGACUGACGCUGAAGCACGAGAGCGUGGGGAUCGAACAGG